rnacentral:rRNA from 1 species
UACGUAGGGUGCAAGCGUUGUCCGGAAUUAUUGGGCGUAAAGAGCUCGUAGGCGGUCUGUCGCGUCGGCUGUAGUGAAAACCCUGGGGCCUCAACCCCUGGGCCGUGCAGUCGGAUACGGGCAGACUAGAGGUGCGGGUAGGGGGAGAACUUGGAAUUCCUGGUGUAGGCGGUGAAAAUGCGCAGAUAUCGAGGAGAACACCGGUGGCGAAGGCGGGUCUCUGGGCCGUAACUGACGCUGAGGAGCGAAGACGUGGGGAGCGAACAGG